rnacentral:rRNA from 1 species
AUUGAACGCUAGCGGGAUGCCUUACACAUGCAAGUCGAACGGAGUGGCGAACGGGUGAGUAAUGUAUCGGAACGUGCCCAGUAGCGGGGGAUAACUACGCGAAAGCGUAGCUAAUACCGCAUACUAUUGGAGCGGCCGAUAUAGGAUUAGAUAGUUGGGGGGGGAACGGCUAAACAAGGCAACGAUUCGUAGGUGGUUUGAGAGGAGGACCAGCCACACUGGGACUGAGAGACGGCACCGACUCCUACGGGCGGCAGCCGUGGGGAAUGUUGGACAAUGGGGGAAACCCUGAGCCAGCCAUCCCGGGUGUGCGAUGAAGGCCUUCGGUUUGUAGAGCAAUUUUGGCAGGAAAGCGGUACCUGCAGAAUAAGCACCGGCUAACUACGUGCCAGCAGCCGCGGUAAUAC